rnacentral:rRNA from 1 species
GUACACGCUGUGACUAGCAUAUCAUAAGCGGAGGAAAAGAAACUAACAAGGAUUCCCCUAGUAACGGCGAGUGAAGCGGGAAGAGCUCAAAUUUGAAAUCUUAAAGGGUUUCCCUUUACGAAUUGUAGUUUAAAGAAGUGUUUUCUGUUGAGGUUUUGGUAAAAGUUCUUUGGAAUAGGACAUCAUAGAGGGUGAGAAUCCCGUAUUUGACCUUUACUUUCAACUUUGUGAUACACUUUCAGAGAGUCGGAUUGUUUGGGAAUGCAGUCCAAAAUGGGUGGUAAAUUUCAUCUAAAGCUAAAUAUUGGCGAGAGACCGAUAGCGAACAAGUACCGUGAGGGAAAGAUGAAAAGAACUUUGAAAAGAGAGUUAAACAGUACGUGAAAUUGUCAAAAGGGAAGCGUUUGACACCAGUGUUGUUUUUCUGAAAAUCAAUUAAAGAACUGUUUAUGCUAAGUUGUUUAGACUUUAUCAGCUAACUGUUUAGUUUUGAGCUUUUCUUUAAUGCACUUUUCAGUUAACAAGUCAACAUCAAUUUCUUUUGCUGUAAAAAAGCUUGAGGAAGGUGGCUUGAGAUUCGUCUUAAGUGUUUAUAGCCUCUUGCCUAUGCAGUCGGAGAGAUUGAGGUCUGCAGCGUAGAUCCUUCGGGGCUAAAUGCAUUUGUGCUAAGUUAUAACAUUUUAUAGACAACUUGUUGACUAUGAUUUGUCUUGUAGCUUACUCGCUUAUGUUAUUUUACCUACGCUUAGGAUGUUGACAGCAGUAUAGACUGU